CCAUGCCGCGUGCAGGAUGACGGUCCUAUGGAUUGUAAACUGCUUUUAUACGAGAAGAAACACUGAUUCGUGAAUCAGCUUGACGGUAUCGUAAGAAUAAGGAUCGGCUAACUCCGUGCCAGCAGCCGCGGUAAUACGGAGGAUCCAAGCGUUAUCCGGAAUCAUUGGGUUUAAAGGGUCCGUACGCGGUUUAAUAAGUCAGUGGUGAAAGCCCAUCGCUCAACGGUGGAACGGCCAUUGAUACUGUUAGACUUGAAUUAUUAUGAAGUAACUAGAAUAUGUAGUGUAGCGGUGAAAUGCUUAGAGAUUACAUGGAAUACCAAUUGCGAAGGCAGGUUACUACUAAUGGAUUGACGCUGAUGGACGAAAGCGUGGGUAGCGAACAGGAUUAGAUACCCUGGUAGUCCACGCCGUAAACGAUGGAUACUAGCUGUUGGAAGCAAUUUCAGUGGCUAAGCGAAAGUGAUAAGUAUCCCACCUGGGGAGUACGUUCGCAAGAAUGAAACUCAGAGGAAUUGACGGGGGCCCGCACAAGCGGUGGAGCAUGUGGUUUAAUUCGAUGAUACGCGAGGAACCUUACCAAGGCUUAAAUGUAGAUUGACCGUUUUGGAAACAGAACUUU
rnacentral:rRNA from 1 species